rnacentral:rRNA from 1 species
UACGAAGGGUGCAAACGUUGCUCGGAAUUAUUGGGCGUAAAGCGCACGUAGGCGGCAUUGCAAGUCGGAUGUGAAAUCCCUCGGCUUAACCAAGGAAGUGCAUCCGAAACUGCAGUGCUUGAGUACUUAAGAGGAUCGCGGAAUUCCCGGUGUAGAGGUGAAAUUCGUAGAUAUUCGCAAGAACACCAGUGGCGAAGGCGGCUCACUGGCCCGGUACUGACGCUGAGGUGCGAAAGCGUGGGGAGCAAACAGG